AUAACGGUCCUAAGGUAGCGAAAUUCCUUGUCAGGUAAGUUCUGACCCGCACGAAUGGCGUAAUGAUUUGGGCACUGUCUCGACAGCCCGCCCGGCGAAAUUGUAGUACUGGUGAAGAUGCCAGUUACCCGCAACUAGACGGAAAGACCCCAUGGAGCUUUACUGUAGCUUAAUACUGAAGAUCGGUAAUGCAUGUACAGGAUAGGUGGGAGACUUGGAAGCCAGGGCGUCAGCUUUGGUGGAGUCGUCCUUGGGAUACCACUCUUGUAUUGCUGGUUUUCUAACCUGCGGCCCUGAAUCGGGUCGGGGGACACUGUUAGGUGGGCAGUUUGACUGGGGCGGUCGCCUCCAAAAGAGUAACGGAGGCGCUCAAAGGUUCGUUCAGCACGGACGGAAAUCGUGCAUUGAGUGUAAACGCAUAAACGAGCCUAACUGCGAGACCGACGGGUCGAGCAGUAACGAAAGUUGGAGUUAGUGAUCCGGUGGUAUGUGAGUGGAAAUGCCAUCGCUCAACGGAUAAAAGCUACCCUGGGGAUAACAGGCUGAUCUCCCCCAAGCGUCCACAGCGACGGGGAGGUUUGGCACCUCGAUGUCGGCUCGUCACAUCCUGGGGCUGAAUUCGGUCCCAAGGGUUCGGCUGUUCGCCGAUUAAAGUGGCACGCGAGCUGGGUUCAGAACGUCGUGAGACAGUUCGGUCCCUAUCUGUUGCGGGCGUAAGAGAUUUGAAGGGAGCUGUCCUUAGUACGAGAGGACCGGGAUGGACGUACCUCUGGUGUACCAGUUGUCGUGCCAACGGCACAGCUGGGUAGCUAUGUACGGACGGGAUAAACGCUGAAGGCAUCUAAGCGUGAAGCCCCCCCUAAGAUGAGAUCUCUCAUCCUUUAUGGAGUAAGGGCCCAGGAAGACUACCUGGUUGAUAGGCAGGAGGUGGAAGCGCAGUAAUGUGUGCAGCUGACCUGUACUAAUCGCCCGAGGGCUUGACCU
rnacentral:rRNA from 1 species